UUAGUAAUUCCUGUGUCUGUAGGUUCUUGGUACACCAACCCGUGAAGAAAUCAAAUGCAUGAAUCCAAACUACACAGAAUUUGAGUUCCCACAUAUAUCCUUUCUAACUUAAUGUUUAACAGACAACUGCAUCCUGCAUUUUUCUUCACCAUCCAUAUGCUCCUUAUUUUCAGAUUUCUGUAGAACCAGUGCAAGGAAAGAAACUUGAACACAAUGGCAUUAAAAUAGAGCUCCUUGGUCAGAUUGGGGCAAAAAAAGUCUUUUCACGUUUCAGGGGGGGUACAUUGAUGCAAUCAGAAAACGUCAGGGGUCAGACAACAAGAUUUUCGUAAUAGAGGGUAAGGUUACCAAUCGCAUCUAACCCCAGGGGUAAAAUUGCAGUUUACUCUAAUAUAUAUCUUUCUUACUUAUUAUAUGCAGAUGAUGUCUUGAUUAUUACUUAUAGGGUUAUUGGAUUUUAUCAUCCCCAACUAUCGACCUUUGGCCGUUGCCACCCCCAACUAACACUUUAACGCCCGGCACCUCCAACUUGACUUUCAGUUUAUGCUGGCACCACUCUGUCUGUUAGUUUUUGAUCCUACGUGUCACCAUCUUUCCUACGUGGACAUGAUUACAUGGCGAUUAUGUGUCAAGCACCUCCAUCCCUGUUCCAAAUCUUGUUUAAACCCCAUUUGUCUCUUCUCACUUCCUCACUUAUUAUCCAAAAACAGCCACAACAAGUCAAAAUCAGUUCAAUAGUCAAACAUGUAUCUACUGUAAAUUGGUAAUCCCCCCCCCCCCCCCUUCUCAUACGAGUUUCUCCGGUAACAAUGGCAACAAACUCAAAAGGCCAAGCAUGGUUUAGUAGCACCGGUUUACCAAGCGACGUCGUUGUGGAUGUUGACGACAUGGUUUUCCAUCUCCAUAAGUUUCACCUAAUGGCAAAGAGUAAAAAACUCUUAUGACUUUAAAACUGAACAAGAGGAUAAUUUCACCUCUAAUGUUGUUAAUGAGACGACAAAGUUCUGUUACACCGUGAAAAUUGAGUUAUCGUCUGCUGUGAAACGAACAAGGUGUAUGGACAUCUAGGUGGUUGUCAUCGGCUGUGAAACGCUAGCCGCCACUUAUCGGGUCGCCGAUCUAAACUCAGAUGCCGUCGACUUUGGACCUUCUUCAAACCACUAUCACAGCCGUAAAGGGGCUGCUUUGGAACCGAUAACUUUCGUCUGAACGCAGUGGUUGUGUUGGAGAUACAAUGUUGGCCGGUGGUGGUAACGGAGGGUGGCAGCAAGAGGGAUGAAAAAGAUUUAAAGAAAUCUGAAAGAUGAAGAAAUGGUUUGUACCAAGAUUUAACCAAUAUGUGUUCAUUAUAUUUAAUAAGGGAUCCACCUCAUCUUGCCACACUGGAAAUGGAGUGCCAUGUAGGAUAAAAAAUUAACUAAGUUAGUGUUUGGUUAACGAGGUGGUGCCAGCACAAACUAAAAGUCAAGUUGGAGGUGUCGGGCGUCAAAGUGUUAGUUGGGGGUGGCAACGGCCAAAGGUCGAUAGUUGGGGGCGAUAAAAUCCAAUAACCCUUACUUAUAGGGAUGGUCUUUAACGAUAUGAUUCUUAAAUGUUUUUACUUGGCUUCAGAGUUGAAGUCUAAUUUUCAUAAGUCAUGUUUGUACUUUGUGCA